GACGGAGGAUGCAAGUGUUAUCCGGAAUCACUGGGCGUAAAGCGUCUGUAGGUGGUUCAAUAAGUCAACUGUUAAAUCUUGAGGCUCAACUUCAAAAUCGCAGUCGAAACUAUUGGACUCGAGUAUAGUAGGGGUAAAGGGAAUUUCCAGUGGAGCGGUGAAAUGCGUAGAGAUUGGAAAAGAACACCAAUGGCGAAAGCACUUUACUGGGCUAUUACUGACACUGAGAGACGAAAGCUAGGGGAG
rnacentral:rRNA from 1 species